CGAUCGUAAUGUCAAUUGUAUGGUUAUUGAAAGUUAUAAAUUGCCCAAUAACAUACUUAUUAAAAGUUUAUCUACUUUUGAACGCGUCGACAAAAUGUUCAAUUUCAAUAUGCUCGGGCAUUUUCAGCGAGUGGAUCAGAAGAUUGUAAAAUUUGAUAGUAAAAACACACAAUGAUUUUUUUUUAAUAUUGCGUCUAUUUGGUAAAUCGUUUUUUAGGACUCGACCGUCUCGAAAAAGAAUUCUGGAUAAGCGUAUGUACUGUCGCAAACAUAAAAAAAAAUAACUCUCAUAUCAUCCAAAACCAAUACAUUCCUCGCAGCGGUCAGAAUCCACAACGCUGUUCGUCGACAAUUGGAAUUUCGGGAAUUUCCGUUCCCACGUCGCCGCACACAAUCGAACGAAAUCCAAUUGCAAUAAAUAACCGAAUUGGGUAAUAUUGUCUAUUUGUUGAUACUGCAGUUUAGCACGAAUUAAACUGCAGGUAAUAUUCAUCAUAUUGUUACCG